AACUCGCCCUCAUGAAGUUGGAAUCGCUAGUAAUCGUGAAUCAGCCAUGUCACGGUGAAUACGUUCUCGAGUCCUGUACUCACCGCCCGUCACACCAAGGGAGCUGGUAGCGGAUAGAGUCUCACCUAGCGUGGGAUGAGUUCGAGAUCAGUGACAGGGGUGAAGUCGUAACAAGGCACGCGUAGCGGAAGCUGUGC
rnacentral:rRNA from 1 species